UACGUAGGGAGCAAGCGUUGUCCGGAUUUAUUGGGCGUAAAGCGCACGCAGGCGGUUUAGUCAGUCUCUACUGACAGUGUCCGGCUCAACCGGCAAGUGGUAGGGAAACUGCUAAACUUGAGGGCUUCAGAGGGAUGGGGAACUCCAGGUGGAGUGGUGAAAUGCGUAGAUAUCUGGAAGAACACCAAUGGCGAAGGCACC
rnacentral:rRNA from 1 species